AAGAUGUUCUCCAUUAUUUUAGCUAUCUGGGGAUUCCUUUCAUUUGUCUAUCAGCACUACCUCGACGAAAAGAAGAUGAAGACUUGCCACAAAAAACCUGUCGAGGAAGAUACACAAACUUAAUGAAACGUAGCUGCCUUGAAGCCAAGGUCACACAAACAAACAUACAAAGUUGUGCACACAAUCAUGCAUAUAUUCUAUAUAUAAAGCUUGUCUGUGUAAUUUCCAUAAUGGCCCCUGCAAAUGGAUGCAUGUCUCUCUGUACAGCUUGAACAUCUAUAUCAGUCAUGUGCAAGUCUCUUAGGCCAAAUAUUCAUUAUUUAAUAAGUAAAUAAAUUUUGUACAAAAAGGUGCCCAAAUUCCAGAUAUUUAGAACAUCUAGUCAAAAACGAAUUGUCUAAUACAAAAAGGGUGAACAAAGCACACGUUUAUUUGUGAUAUUUUCACUUUGUGAGUGUGACUCCUGAUAAAUAUUGACUAGUCAGCCAUAACUUACAAAGAUGUCAAUGCACUCUUCUGCUUUCUAGUUUCAAAACGCACCUAAAAUAUUGUGAAACAAGAACAAACAGCAGGUCAUGUAUACUGAAAAAAAAGAACAAGAUAUAUUUGACAGAUAGGUCCAAACAUCCUUGGGGAAACAAAGCUUUGAACAAAAAGUAAAUGGGCCAGAAACAAUACCAUUUCAUAAAGCUACUUGUCCAAUUGCUGUUGGCUGGUUGCAAAUGUCUUCUCUUGAAAAGAUAGGCGAGACAAAAUCUUCAAUGUUUUAGCUGGCGAGACAAAAUCUUCAAUGUUUUAGCUAACGCCAGCAUAUUCUUGAUGGCAAAAACAUCAAAACUAGCCAUGGAAACCCAAAGUGCGUUCAUAAUCCAAAUAAAUUCAAAAAGAGGAAGAAGUUUUACAAUUGUCAUGCUGAAGAUCACACAAUACUACAACUUGUGCACAUGUUCGUACAUGUCAUACAUGCGUAUGCAUAUGAAGUUUUCUAUUUGUCUAUGCGUAUAAGGUUCAUGUUUCUCCACAUAGUUACAGAAGAAAUGAUGAGUAAAUAUUGGCUAGAAAUAAUGUCCUCCUUCAUUUAACACAUCCCUUGGUCAACAAUAGUGGCAUCUUUGCAUGUAGGAAGACUACACAAACUAAAUUCAUGGAAAAGAGAAGAGAUAUGGUUGUCAUUUACUGUAUGUGGGGCCAAGAACAAUGAAAACUUAGACGGUGACAGAAUCCUAAUCACUGAAUAAAUAGCUAUAGCAUAUCAUCACACCCAUAUCAAAGGAGCCAUCAUUUGGUAGCAUUAGCAACUCAGAAAAUUGAUCAUAAGAUACCUCAUACUUAGAAUCUGUUCAGAACAUCAUUCGUUCCUCCUUGUCCAUCUCCAAGGAGGUUAUUCAACAUCCAUCAUGAUGGCGGAUCAAGAACUACAAGUCAUCGGUGAGUAAACCAGUUCGUUGUGAACGUACUAGUCUUUCAUCUUCAAAAAAGGAAAAAAAAAAUGGUUAUGAUUCUUAAUUAUUCAAUAUACAAAACGAUUGAAAACAAAAUAAACUAUAAACUAAUUUUGUGUUAUUUUUCAUCACUUACCAGUUCAGCAGGGAAAAGAACCAAAUCCAACAGUUCAAGAUGAAAGAAAUUCGGUCAGUAGCAGCCAAACAGAAGAAUCUCACUCAAACAAUUACAAACGGUGGUUCCGGGUGACUAUCUAUACAUUUUUUGUUAUUUCAGGCCAAUCAGUUGCUACAAUUCUCGGCAGAUUAUACUACGACAACGGAGGAAAUAGUAAAUGGCUAGCAACGGUAGUUCAACUUGUUGGCUUUCCUGUCCUACUUCCAUAUUAUCUCUUGUCACUUAAAACACAUGCAACUACUAAUAGAGAUGGAAAAAGAACCUCACCUAGGAACCGUGUAUUGGUUUACGUAGUGCUAGGACUUCUUGUAGGAGCAGAUUGCUAUCUGUACUCCAUCGGACUGCUUUACUUACCCGUUUCUACCUAUUCCCUGAUCUGUGCAUCUCAGUUAGCCUUCAACGCUUUCUUCUCUUUUUUUCUCAACUCACAAAAGCUAACUCCUAUCAUUUUGAAUUCUCUUUUCCUACUAACUAUAUCUUCCAUCCUCCUCGCGUUCAAUAAUGAGGAGUCAAAUGCCACAAAAGUUACAAAAGGAGAGUAUGUCAAAGGUUUCAUAUGCACUGUUGGUGCGUCUGCUGGGUAUGGUCUAGUCUUAUCCCUACAACAGCUAGCCUUCCUUAAAGUUCUAAGGAGGCAAAAUUUCUCAGAAGUUAUGGAUAUGAUAAUCUACGUGAGUCUAGUGGCCAGUUGUGUUAGCGUGGUGGGGCUUUUUGCUAGCAGCGAGUGGAAAACAUUGAGCAGUGAAAUGGAAAACUACAAACCUGGGAAGGUAUCCUACGUUAUGAACCUAGUGUGGACAGCUAUUACCUGGCAGGUAUUCUCCAUUGGUGGCACAGGACUGAUCUUUGAGCUUUCUUCUCUAUUCUCAAAUGCCAUAAGCGUUCUGGGACUCCCCGUGGUUCCCAUCCUGGCUGUCAUCAUUUUCCAUGACAAGAUGAAUGGGUUAAAGGUGAUUUCUAUGAUCCUAGCUAUUUGGGGUUUCACUUCAUAUGUGUACCAACAAUAUCUUGAUGAUAAAAACUUGAAGAAAAGUCAUGGAAUCCCAACAACAGAAUCCCCUGACCCACCAGAAGCAGAAGGUGUAGUCGGCAAUCAAAAUAAGCUGAUAUCCUGAAAGAUGGUGUUCCGCAGAUUACUGACUUCAUCGAGCUGAUUGAGUAAGAUUACUUUACUUAUGGC
rnacentral:lncRNA from 1 species